rnacentral:snoRNA from 1 species
CUGGAUGUGAUGGAUAUCUGUAAUAUUGACUUGCCGUGAUGCUUUAUGUAUUCAUACUGUCUGAUCAGG